GUUUCAGUGGUCUAGCGGUUAUGAUUUCUGUCUAACAAGACGCCUACGUGGUCGCUAUAUUACACAGAAGGUUCCAGGUUCGAUUCCUGGCUGAAACA